rnacentral:rRNA from 1 species
UCCCUUAGAUGUUCUGGGCCGCACGCGCGCUACACUGAUUCAUGCAACAAGUUUUGUCCUUGGCUGAUAGGCCUGGGUAAUCUUUGAACGUGAAUCGUGAUGGGGAUAGAUGAUUGCAAUUAUUCAUCUUCAACGAGGAAUUCCUAGUAAACGCAAGUCAUCAGCUUGCAUUGAUUACGUCCCUGCCCUUUGUACACACCGCCCGUCGCACCUACCGAUUGAAUGGUCCGGUGAAAUCUUCGGAUCUGAGAGAUGUCUGAUUAAUUUCGGACGCCUUUUGGAAAAGUUGCUUAAACCUUACCAUUUAGAGGAAGGUGAAGUCGUAACA